rnacentral:misc_RNA from 1 species
ACCACUGGCAUUAGAAUAUCAGAGAAAGAAGGUGAAGUAGAGGAGUGAUGUUCAGUUGAGGAAAAUGCACUGUUUCUUCACAUUGGCUUAACCCCUAUCAAGAUUGAUUAAGCUGUGUUUUAAGGUACCCUCUGUUUCUUUGAGGAGAAGAAAUGGAGGCAGGUGGUGGAAUGGUAGCUGGAUCUCACAAGCGUAAUGAGUUGGUUAGGAUUCGACAUGAUUCUGAUAGUGGGCCGAAACCCUUGAAGCCUCUCAAUAGCCAAAUAUGCCAAAUUUGUGGUGAUACUGUUGGUUCGACUGCUAGUGGUGAUGUAUUCAUUGCUUGUAAUGAGUGUGCCUUUCCUGUUUGCCGGGCUUGUUAUGAGUACGAGCGUAAAGAUGGAAAUCAAUCAUGUCCUCAAUGCAAGACCAGAUACAAGAGGUUCAAGGGGAGUCCACGAGUGGAUGGAGAUGAUGACGAGGAAGAUGUUGAUGAUAUCGACAAUGAGUUCAAUUAUGCUCAAGGAAACAGCAAGGCCAGACAGCAAUGGCAGGGUGAUGAUGCUGGUCUCUCUUCAUCCUCUAGACACGAAUCUCAGCAACCGAUUCCUCUUCUUACAGAUGGCCAGCCAGUGUCUGGUGAUUUUCCUAGUGCAACAACUGAUACACAAUCUGUAAGAAGUAUGUCAGGACCCUUAGGCCCUGGAGACAAGCAUUCAUCCCUGUCUUAUGUUGAUCCAAGACAGCCUGUUCCUGUAAGAAUUGUGGACCCCUCAAAGGACUUGAAUUCUUAUGGGCUUGGAAGUGUUGACUGGAAGGAGAGAGUAGAGGGUUGGAAACUGAAACAGGAGAAAAAUCUGGUGCAUUCGACAAACAGAUAUUCUGAAGGGAAAGGCGGGGACAUUGAAGGGACAGGGUCGAAUGGAGAAGAGCUACAAAUGGCUGACGAUGCUCGCCAGCCUAUGAGCCGUGUGGUGCCUAUUCCUUCAUCCCACCUUACCCCAUAUCGGGUUGUUAUCAUUUUGCGGUUGAUCAUCUUGGGAUUUUUCAUGCAAUACCGUCUAACUCAUCCAGUGAAUGAUGCAUAUCCUCUGUGGCUAGUAUCAGUUAUUUGUGAGGUUUGGUUUGCCUUGUCCUGGCUCCUCGAUCAGUUUCCAAAAUGGUCACCAGUCAAUCGUGAGACAUUCCUUGACAGGCUAGCUUUGAGACAUGAUAGAGAAGGGGAGCCUUCGCAGCUUGCACCUGUUGACAUCUUUGUCAGUACAGUGGAUCCUUUGAAAGAACCUCCUCUCAUUACUGCAAACACAGUGUUGUCCAUCCUUGCUGUUGAUUAUC